rnacentral:tRNA from 1 species
GGAGAGAUGGCUGAGUGGUUGAAAGCGCCAGAUUGCUAAUCUGUUGUAUAAUAUUAAUUAUACCGAGGGUUCGAAUCCCUUUCUCUCCU